UUAUUUAAUUAAUGAUUACAUAAUUAUUCAUGUAAUAUUGAGUGAUUAUAUCUAUCGCUACUGAACUAAAUAACUGACCCAUGGUAAAUUGAUGUUCGUUGUAGGGGCUCCUUUUCCCUAUAAAGAUUAUUCAUCAGAGACACCUUCCACACAACCUCUUUUGCUCUCUUUGCUCUGCUAGCAACAUAAUCGAUCAGGACGUAAUGGCUCUUUCUAAGGCAUCAAUGGUGCUCUUUGUUACAAUCUUGCUAGUGAUGUCCUCUCAUCAAGUGUUGUCUGCGGAAAAAACUGAAUUCCCAGAAACUAAUAAGCUAGUUACAGGAAGGAAAUUAGCUCAAAGCACUAAUUUUCCUCCUAAUCAGCAAUAUGGAAGAAGUCCAGGAGGAGGAUGCUACCCACCGUACUGUAGUUAAGGGUCAAUAAAUAGGUACAGUGGUAGAGAAAAGUUAUAUCUACAAAGCAAAUAAAUGGGUCGCAUAUGGUGUAUAUAUACAUCAGGCCAAUUCUCUGCCGCUGUUUCUGUUGUCCGACGACUGGAGUCCUAGGAUUGUAAGAGCAUAUGUUUAGUAUGUGUAAUUGAACGCUGUCUGCAGAUGCCAAAUCGUCUGCUUUGAGUUGCAGUGAUGCAAGUUGUUGUUGGUUAUUUUUAUUACUUUCUGGUGCGGGUCAUUCCAUCCUUAAUAUUAGGAUAAGUUAUGUAAUAAAACCAUGUUUUAAGUUGUUGAUUAUGUCAGUAUCAUUUGGACUCUCUCAUGUUCAGUAUGCUCUAAAGUGAAUAAGAUGAAAUCAUGUUUAUGCUAAA